rnacentral:rRNA from 1 species
AUUGAACGCUGGCGGCAGGCCUAACACAUGCAAGUCGAGCGGAGCGGCGGACGGGAGCGUAAUGCUUAGGAAUCUGUCUGGUAGUGUGGGAUAACGUAUGGAAACGGGUGCUAAGACCGCAUACUAUCAGAUGAGCCUAGGUCGGAUUGGCUAGUUGGUGGGUUAAGGGCCUACCAAGGCGACGAGCCGUAACUGGUCUGAGAGGAUGAUCAGUCACACGGGAACUGAGACACGGGCCAACCUCCUAGGGGAGGCAGCAGUGAGGAAUAUUGGACAAUGGGCGAAAGCCUGAUCCAGCCAUGCCGCGUGUGUGAAGAAGGUCUUCAGAUUGUCAAGCACUUUAAGUUUGGAGGCGUUACCAGCAGAAUAAGCACCGGCUAACUUCGUGCCAGCAGCCGCGGUAAUAC